UCGACCUUCAGAUAAUUCCUCAGAGAAUGAACGCCAUGCAUGAUUUAAAACAAGAAAGUAAGGAUAAUCUUCACAUCAAGGUGGCUGCAACAAAGAAAAGAGGUGAUGCGACGAAAACUAUCGAGGAUAAUGCUGACAUUGAAAAUCUCGAGGAAGGAAAUAGGGUCCUGCGGCAAGGUGACUUAGGCUCGACUCAAAAGUUGCCAGAUAAUCAAUGCAUACACAAUGACAACAAUGCUAAAA
rnacentral:ribozyme from 1 species